GGGAAUUAUGUUGUUGGAUACUAAUGGACAUAUGAUUCACGCCAUAACAUCAAGAUGGCGUGAAUCAUAUGCCCAUUAGUAUCCAAGAUGGCGUGAAUCAUAGA